UGUGGCACCCCAAACUGGGCACAGUGCUCGCAGUGACGCCGCCCAGCGCAGAGCAGAGCAGGACAAUCCCUUCCCCCACCAGCUGGCAGUGCUGAGCCUGAUGCAGGGCUGAGCCAGGGCAGGGUUGCCCCUCCUGGCCGCCAGGGCACACUGCUGGCUCCUGUUCAGCUUGCUGUGGAACAGAAACCCCAAACCCUUUCUGUGGGGCUGACCUCCAGCCUCUUGUCCCUCAGUCAACACGUAUAUCCAAGGUUUCCUUGUCCCAGCUUAACUUUGAGUUGAUUGCUUGCUGCUUUCUGCUGGAGUUUUGUACUUACAAGGAGGCCCAGCAAUAUUCUCCUGAGAUCUGGGAUCAGGAGCUAGAAAAAUGCUGUGGCCUCUGUCCCAGCAUUGCCUUUGGAAGGAGAGACUCUCACUGCAAAACAACUGGUAACAGAAAAGUAAGCUCCACACAAAGACACCAUGCCAUGUAACCCUGCACUAAACUGCAAAACCCCUAAAGCUCCUCUAUCAACUCAGGAUGGAAGAAUUUUGGGAGCCUGACAUUACCUUCCAGAAAAUUGUUAGUAGUGGCUUUUUUUUUUUUUUUUUUUUCCGACUGGUCUACACAAAAUGAGGAGGGCUAUCCAGGAGACAGGCUCUGUGAUCUACCUCUGCUCUAGGAAUUAAACUUUCCCUCUCAUUAAAGGAUUAUUUUCUGAGGACUGUAAUGCCAUACCAGAUGGUGAGAGAGACACAUUUCUGGUGCCUGGGUGUGCCAUUUCCAGCUGAAGUGUGAUAAAGACACAAACACAUGAGCUUGUCCCUCACCAACCCUUGCCAGCAGCUAGAUCAAAAGAGCCACUUGCCAUAAUUUACAACUGAUGAGGAUCACGGUCAAAACUUUCUUCCAUUUGAAUAAAAGUUUUUGUAUUAUUCUCUUAUGUCUGCAAGAAAAGGUUCUUCAAAGAUGGGUAUAAAACAGGAAAACGGACUAUCUACCUUAGGCCUGUCUAAGGAAUGCUGUAGUCCACUGCU
ensembl:lncRNA